GUGUCAGCCGCCGCGGUAAUACGUAGGGUGCGAGCGUUAAUCGGAAUUACUGGGCGUAAAGCGUGCGCAGGCGGUUUUGUAAGCCAGAUGUGAAAUCCCCGGGCUCAACCUGGGAAUGGCAUUUGGGACUGCAAGGCUGGAGUGUGGCAGAGGGGACUAGAAUUCCUGGUGUAGCAGUGAAAUGCGUAGAUAUCAGGAGGAAUACCGAUGGCGAAGGCAGGUCCCUGGGCUAACACUGACGCUCAUGCACGAAAGCGUGGGGAGCAAACAGGAUUAGAUACCCGCGUAGUCC
rnacentral:rRNA from 1 species